GCAGGGCAGGGAUGGGUAUGAAUAAUGCAAAAUUCUCUGUGUAUGUUCUCCAGGGGAUGUCACUGAGCUGCUGCCACAAUAGUGGUCAAAUAACGGGAAAAUAAACUGUAAAAAUGUGAUGAAUGAUUUGUUUAAAAACUAAAGGCGUCAUUAAUAUGCUACAAAAGCCAAUUAAUGCUGUUCAUCUAGCAAUGGCACGUGCUGUAUUGCAUAUCCUUGUGCACGUACAACACCCUCAUAUCGGGUAAUGACACUGAUUUUGCACUGGCAGCCUUGGCAGUAAAUAGACAAAGGAUGUGAGAUAAAGGACAUAGCAAAAUGUGCAACUAGAAGUUACUGUAUCGCCAGCUGUUGGGUUCUUUGUACACAUUUCUAAGACCUGGUAAAUUAUCCAGAAUUACGUGCCUCAGCAAAUGAGGGGCUUGUUUGGGCACAGGGAGCCAGUGGCAUGCUCCAGCGCAGCAUGGCAGCACAGCCCUGCGUACACAAUGGCAGCGGCAGCUGCAAGCAAGGGAAAUUAAACCCUCCACUGUUCAGAUAAAACACAUUGGCUUCAAAAUGACAAGACAUGGAAGGGGAGGGAAGGAUGUGAAUUAUCAUGGGAUGCAACUUGUUAUGAUGAAUAAAUCGGGUUCUGGAAGCGUGCUCCCCAUGCUCGCGGGGCUGGAGGCCGCUUCCUCCAUAGGCGCGAUGGGAACUGGCUCCCGAGGGCAGCACUGGGGACCAGUCACAGCACAAACCACUGCUGGGGCCAGCUUUGGCAGGCUGGUGAGUGCUGCUGAGCCCGCUCCACAUGUGCCGUUCCUGGGCACCUGCGUGGCACAAACUGGGACGAGGUGCCGUGCCAGGAUCUGAGGGGACCCUGGUGCCCUGAGGAGCCAGCCUGGGGCAGCUGAGUUGCCUCCCCCCAUCGCUGGCAGCUGGGGUGGGCUGGGAUGGAGGUUGCAUCUGAAUCAGGUCAGGCUCUGGAGGGGCUGAAUAGCAGCACACCAGGGAUCUGCAUCCGUUAGCUAGCUGAAUUCCUGCUCUGUCGUGGGCCCCUUUCUUAUCGGCACUAAUCCAGUGCAGCAGCUGCAGCAGCUCUGUAGCACUCAGUCCUAUCAGUGCUGUGCAAGGUGCCUGAUAACACCCCCCCUUCCUCUCCUGUGCCAGCAGCGAGCCCUCUUCGUGCUCCCGCACCAUGUAUGGCCACGAGCCCUACCGUCAGGGCGCUUAGUGACUCCCCAGCAGCAGCAAAACACAAACAAGCAGUGCCCUGCGCCCGGGCGAGCUGCAGGUGGCUGGGGAGGCAGCACCCAACCUGCCUCUGUGCCCCAGAGCCCCUGCCUCGCUCCCUCGAGGGAAGCACGCUUGCCAGGCCCUUUCCCCCUGGCCAGAGGCACCCCUGCGUGCAGCCAGCAGGAUGGGGCAGCCAGGUCCAUGGUGCCAGCUGGCAGGAGGCAGAGCAGCCGCUCCCCUGGCUCCUGCCUGUCGCCUCAAAAGGAGGAGGAAGGAUGCUGUGGGCCAGUUAAUAGCAGCCAUGGAGGCAGUGCUGAUCUUCCUGUGCUCCCUGCUCCUGCCGGCAGCCGUGGCGGACGUGGCCACCCAAGAGAAGGAGAAGGAGGAGGAGGAGGAUCCCUUUAACUAUGAUUACCAGAGCCUGAGGAUUGGGGGACUGGUGUUUGCUGUGGUCCUGUUCACCGUCGGCAUUCUUCUUAUACUCAGCAGGAGGUGCAGGUGCAGUUUCAACCAGAAGCCCAGAGCUCCUGGGGAUGAGGAGGCUCAGGCUGAGAACCUGAUCACCUCGAACGCAACAGGAGCACAGAAAGCGGAGAACUGAACAAGAGCCAUGUGACCCAGAGACCCGAGGACAGAUGCUCGGACCGCAGAUGCCAGUGGCCUGCGAGGAAACUGAAAUCACAGCAACAGGUCCCUCUAAGGAGAUGCAAAGCUGCUGUGUCUGUGUUACCCUCUGUACUUCAGCACCGGUUCUCUGUUUACUAACCUGACUGAACUCCGCUCACCGUCCUCUCUGCCUCCAGUGGGAAAGGGCAGUGGCGUUUCCUCCCUGCCCUUCCUUGAUGCCUUGUUGCUCCCUGUGCCGUGGCCCAGGACAUGGCCACCCGCGUCAGCGCUCUGCAUGUCGUCCCGUGGAGGUUACAUGUUGUCACCCCCCCGAUGCCAACUGUCCCUUCUCCCCACGGAGCAGCAGCAAGCGGCGGCGAGUGAUACUUGGGGGCUUUGCACGCCUGAGCUUGCACAGCGGUGAUGCGCCAGCUGCAGAGGGGCUGAGCCUAGAGUCCAUCGUCACCUUGUGUCCACUUGUGAGUUGGAGGCAAACCUGUGAGUCUGGCCCCUUUCCCAAGCCUGGGGGCAUGCAGCACCAUGGUCUUGACGGGGCUGGGGGCUGCCGGCUUGGUGAUGGGCACUUGCCAGGGUAGGGUCAGCCUGGGCAGCAGCGGGGGAUCCCCACAGCUGCACUGAAACCCGUCAGAGUGCCAUCCGCGGGCUGGGAAGAUGUUCUUGUCCUCCAGGAUGAUUUUGAGAGGGGUUUCUGCCAUGCCCUCCCCACUGUGUCCCUGUGUGCUUUGCAUCCCUGGGAAGCACGCUCUGUCCCAUCUGUACAAGGCAGAGGGACCGUGGUGCCGUGUCCUUUCCCUUCCCCUGGCCAUUGCAGAGAGCUCGGCUCGCCUCCUGCCUCUGCGCUGCUCCUCAGCCUCAGGCAGAGCAGACCCCACGCAGCCCAGCCCCUGAGUGUCAGCUGUGUGCGUGUCCCGCGUCGGAGUGCCCGUGCUGUCUGUAGUGUGCCGUCAGUGUUAACCCAAAACAAAGAAAUCCCUGUGGUGUGUAGAAAUGGCAAAAUCCUCACCGUUGUAAAAUAAAUGGAGCUAUUGUGUUGCCUUUUAAAUGGGCAAGUGUGCUGCUAUGGUAAAGGACUGGUGUGUUCUGUGCUGUGACCGAAGGGGGGGAAAGUAAUAAAAUAUCGUUCCUAUCA